rnacentral:rRNA from 1 species
GAUGAACGCUGGCGGCGUGCCUAAUACAUGCAAGUCGAGCGAACAGACGAGGAUCUUGCUCCUCUGACGUUAGCGGCGGACGGGUGAGUAACACGUGGAUAACCUACCUAUAAGACUGGGAUAACUUCGGGAAACCGGAGCUAAUACCGGAUAAUAUAUUGAACCGCAUGGUUCAAUAGUGAAAGACGGUUUUGCUGUCACUUAUAGAUGGAUCCGCGCCGCAUUAGCUAGUUGGUAAGGUAACGGCUUACCAAGGCGACGAUGCGUAGCCGACCUGAGAGAGUGAUCGGCCACACUGGAACUGAGACACGGACAAGACGCCUAAGGGAGGCAGCAGUAGGGAAUCUUCCGCAAUGGGCGAAAGCUUGACGGAGCAACGCCGCGUGAGUGAUGAAGGUCUUCGGAUCGUAAAACUCUGUUAUUAGGGAAGAACAAAUGUGUAAGUAACUAUGCACGUCUUGACGGUACCUAAUCAGAAAGCCACGGCUAACUACGUG